UCAUUACCGAACUGUCGACACGAGUUGUUGCUGGUCCUCGAAAGGGGUCAAGUGCACGCUCUGUUUACACAUCCACUCACACCUGUGCACCCUCUGUAGUUCUAUGGCCUGGGGGCUCUGUCCUCUUGCUGUGGUCCUACGUCUUUACACACACACACCGUAAUAGAGUCUCAUGGAAUGUAUCUCGCGUUUAACGCAGUAUAAUACAACUUUCAGCAACGGAUCUCUUGGCUCUCGCAUCGAUGAAGAACGCAGCGAAAUGCGAUAAGUAAUGUGAAUUGCAGAAUUCAGUGAAUCAUCGAAUCUUUGAACGCACCUUGCGCCCUUUGGCUAUUCCGAAGGGCAUGCCUGUUUGAGUAUCAUGAACACCUCAACUCUCAUGGUCCACCAUGAUGAGCUUGGACUUUGGGGGUCUUGCUGGCCUAUCACCGGCUCCUCUCAAACGAAUCAGCUUGCCAGUGUUUGGUGGCAUCACAGGUGUGAUAACUAUCUACGCUUGUGUUUUCCCACCAGGUAACCUCCAGCAAUGGGGGUUCGCUGAAGCUCACAAUUGUCUCUCCUCWGUGGAGACAGCU
rnacentral:rRNA from 1 species